UAGAGUUUGAUCAUGGCUCAGAGUGAACGCUGGCGGCGUAGAUUAGGCAUGCAAGUCGAGCGAUACUUUUUUCUUGAGAUGGUGAAGCCGCAAGGCUGAUCUGUUGAGAGAAGGAAGAUAUAGCGGCAGAUUGGUGAGUAACACGUGAGUAAUUUACCUCUAAGUCGGGAAUAGCCUUGCGAAAGUGAGGGUAAUGCCCGAUGUGUUUGCGGCUGCAUAAGCAGCUGCAAGUAAAGAAGGCUCGCAAGAGUUUUUGUUUAGAGAUGAGCUCGCGUCCUAUCAGCUAGUUGGCAGGGUAAUGGCCUACCAAGGCUUUUGACGGGUAGCUGGCCUGAGAGGGUGGUCAGCCACAUGGGGACUGAGAUACUGCCCCAACUCCUACGGGAGGCUGCAGUCGAGGAUAUUUAGCAAUGGGCGAAAGCCUGACUAUGUGACGCCGCGUGAGGGAUGAAGGUCUUCGGAUUGUAAACCUCUCUCGAUAGGGAAGAAAACCUGUUCUUAACGGAACAGACUGACGGUACCUAGAGAAGAAGCCACGGCCAACUCUGUGCCAGCAGCCGCGGAAUUCA
rnacentral:rRNA from 1 species